GACGAACGCUGGCGGCGUGCUUAACACAUGCAAGACGAACGGUGAAGCUCCAGCUUGCUGGAGUGGAUCAGUGGCGAACGGGUGAGUAACACGUGAGCAACCUGCCCCUGACUCUGGAAUAAGCGCUGGAAACGGCGUCUAAUACUGGAUACGAGAAGGGUCCGCAUGGGCACUUUCUGGAAAGUUUUUCGGUUGGGGAUGGGCUCGCGGCCUAUCAGCUUGUUGGUGAGGUAAUGGCUCACCAAGGCGACGACGGGUAGCCGGCCUGAGAGGGCGACCGGCCACACUGGGACUGAGACACGGCCCAGACUCCUACGGGAGGCAGCAGUGGGGAAUAUUGCACAAUGGGCGAAAGCCUGAUGCAGCGACGCCGCGUGAGGGAUGACGGCCUUCGGGUUGUAAACCUCUUUCAGCAGGGAAGAAGCGAAAGUGACGGUACCUGCAGAAGAAGCACCGGCUAACUACGUG
rnacentral:rRNA from 1 species